rnacentral:rRNA from 1 species
AUUGAACGCUGGCGGCAGGCCUAACACAUGCAAGUCGAGCGAGUGGCGGACGGGUGAGUAAUGUCUGGGGAACUGCCUGAUGGAGGGGGAUAACUACUGGAAACGGUGGCUAAUACCGCAUACCAUCGGAUGAGCCCAGAUGGGAUUAGCUAGUUGGUGGGGUAAGGGCUCACCAAGGCGACGAUCCCUAGCUGGUCUGAGAGGAUGAUCAGCCACACUGGAACUGAGACACGGUCCAGAGUCCUACGGGAGGCAGCAGUAGGGAAUCUUGCACAAUGGACGAAAGCCUGACCGAGCAAUGCCGCGUGUGUGAAGAAGGUCUUCGGAUUGUAAAGCACUGUUGUUGGGGAGGCGUUACCUGAAGAGAAAGCCCCGGCUAACUCCGUGCCAGCAGCCGCGGUAAUAC